CCCGGAUGGUGGAAUCGGUAGACACAAGGGAUUUAAAAUCCCUCGGCGUUCGCGCUGUGCGGGUUCAAGUCCCGCUCCGGG
rnacentral:tRNA from 1 species